UGUCACCAGCAACGUAGUGCACGUCAGUACCAGAGGGAGCUUGUGCGACGACCUGUGGGAGAUCCAGCACGGUGCACUUCAAAUCCGGGAACGCCGCUGCUAUGGUCGCAGCGGCCCCGCCAAGGCCGCCGGCGACAUCGACGAGGGAGGUUAGCCCACGGAAGACCUCGGCGCACUCCCUGAGGACGAUCGGCAUCAGGAAGGCGGUGUCCGCGGCCAUGGCUUCGUUGAACCGGAACGCCUCGGCGUCACCCUCCGCUCUCUCCCAGACAGACUGGCCGCCGUACGCCAUGGAGAACGGGGACAGACCCGGCUGCUGCAGGUCACCCUGCUGCCGGAACCACUUGCGCAUGCCCAUGCUGACCGGAGAAUCUCGGACCGGCCAGAGCAAGAGCUGCACGGUCAGGAAAUGAGGCAGCUGGCCCGUCGCCGUCGAGCUCUUGUCCCUGACGAGGAGGCGGGAGGCCGCCGUCAGCUUGUAGACCGCGGCGUCGUGCCUGCUUUCUGCCGCCGCCGCCGCCUCGUCCGGGUACUGGACGAUGAAGAUGCCCGAAACGGUGAGCACGCGCAUGACGCGGCGCAUGUCGCGGAGCCUGCACGGGCUGAUGCCGGCCUCGGCGAGUAUCUGGGGCAGGGUGGCGGAGCCGCCGAGGCGGUGGACGGCGUCGGCGAUGCCGAGGUCCAAGGCGAUGGCGAGCGCGGCGGACUUGAAGAAGCCGAGGGACUGAUGCCAGAGCUGGAGCUCGGCCUGGAGCAGCUCCUGGCUGCUGUACUCGGCGAGCAAUGCCAUUACUGCCCCGAUCGACCAAUCAGUCGAUCUUGAUGGCUGGUUCUUUCUUGUUCAGGGGUUGCUGAGCUUUGGGUGGAGCCAUACACGCAUCGGGUACUUAUAGUUGCAUGGCAGCUUGGUUAAGAGGGUGUUUGGGAGAAGGGGGUUAAACUUUAGCCUUGUCACAUCGGAUGUUCGGAUACUAAUUAGGAGGACUAAAUAUAAGCUAAUUACAAAACUAAUUGCAGAACCCCUAAGCUAAAUCGCAAGACGAAUCUAUUAACCCUAACUAAUUAGGCUUAAUAGAUUCGUCUCGCGAUUUAACCUAGGGGUUGUGUAAUUAGUUUUGUAAUUAGUCUAGGUUUAAUACUCCUAACUAGUGUCCAAACAUUCGAUGUGACGGGAGCUAAAAUUUAGCCCCCUCCUCCCAAACACCUACCCCCAACGAACAUGAGCAUUAUUCUACAAGCUCUCAUUGGCUGUAUAUGCAAGCAUGUGCAGCCUUGGAAAUCAAGACGAUAUCCCAGCCGGUGCCCAGUUGACUUUGAAAGGAGGAACGAGUCAUGAGAGAUUUUUUGAAAAUAGAAUGAUAGGCUGCUUCUGCAUAUGUACUUAUAUACCAAUGAAAACUAAUUGUAUAUAUAGGGAAUUUUGAAGCACUUAGUCAACUACUAGCUGCAGUAGCUUGAAUGGUCGCAUUACAUAUGCACACGGCAGCUACUUACCCCUUGUUUACUUUCCAAUUUGGGAUAGGCAAAAUUGACAUUUUGCCAUAAAUGCGUAACUGUAGCGUUUCGUUUGUAUUUGUGAAUUAUUGUCUAAAUAUUGACUAAUUAGGCUCAAAAGAUUCGUCUCGCAAAGUACAACGAAAUUGUGUAAUUAGUUUUUGAUUUCGUCUACAUUUAGUACUCCAUGCAUGUACCGCAAGUUUGAUGUGAUGGUGAAUCUUCUUUUUGCAUAGUGUCAAAGUUGGGUGUUUGGGAGAAGGGGGCUAAACUUUAGCCUUGUCACAUCGGAUGUUCGGAUACUAAUUAGGAGGACUAAACAUAAGCUAAUUACAAAACUAAUUGCAGAACCCCUAGGCUAAAUCGCGAGACGAAUCUAUUAAGCCUAAUUAAUCCAUCAUUAGUGAAUGGUUACUGUAGCACCGCAUUGUCAAAUCAUGGACUAAUUAGGCUUAAUAGAUUCGUCUCGCGAUUUAGCCUAGGGGUUGUGUAAUUAGUCUAGGUUUAAUACUCCUAACUAGUGUCCAAACAUUCGAUGUGACGGGGGUUAAAAUUUAGCCCCCUCCUCCCAAACACCUACCCCAACGAACAUGAGCAUUAUUCUACAAGCUCUCAUUGGCUGUAUAUGCAAGCAUGUGCAGCCCUGGAAAUCAAGACGAUAUCCCAGCCGGUGCCCAGUUGACUUUGAAAGGAGGAACGAGUCAUGAGAGAUUUUUUGAAAAUAGAAUGAUAGGCUGCUUCUGCAUAUGUACUUAUAUACCAAUGAAAACUAAUUGUAUAUAUAGGGAAUUUUGAAGCACUUAGUCAACUCCUAGCUGCAGUAGCUUGAAUGGUCGUAUUACAUACGCACACGGCAGCUACUUACCCCUCGUUUACUUCCCAAUUUGGGAUAGGCAAAAUUGACAUUUUGUCAUAAAUGCGCAACUGUAGCGUUUCGUUUGUAUUUGUGAAUUAUUGUCUAAAUAUUGACUAAUUAGGCUCAAAAGAUUCGUCUCGCAAAGUACAACGAAAUUGUGUAAUUAGUUUUUGAUUUCGUCUACAUUUAGUACUCCAUGCAUGUACCGCAAGUUUAAUGUGAUGAAGAAUCUUCUUUUUGCAUAGUGUCAAAGUUGGGAGUUUGGAGGGAAGUAAACAAGGGGUUAGUUUAGGCUGCUAGGUGACCGCGAGCGGAAGCUUACGUUGCCUUGGUCAGAAUUCGAGCUAUAUAGAGAGGAGAGGCUGCGCGCUGCGCCAAGGUAUCAAUCAAUCUUAUCCUUGACCGUGAUGGCUGAAGAAGUCUUCCAUGUCUGCGCCUGCAAACUACUAAACAAAUCUUUAUCCUUGGUCAGAAUUCGAGCUGUAUAGAGAGGAGAGGCUGCGCGUAGAUCUCUAUCAUGAAUGCACAUGUAUAUCAAGCAUAAGUACUUGCAAACCAAUCAUUGAGUCUUUCACCGUUGCACGGUUUUGUUUUUAAAAGUAUGUUUGCAACUAGUCACUUCUGAAGGUAUUUGCAAUUGCAAAAAUAGUUUCUAACGUCUAUUACCGAAAAAAUUGUCCUUUUGCAUCUUAGUUUUUAAUUAUGUUGAGUUUGACAAUGAAAUUUUAUGGAUGCAUAUAUCAUGCUCAUCCCCAUCUAUAGUAAAAUUUAUAAAAUAUUCUCAAACCUUUUAAGUAGAGUGAAAAUUAAAUCCACAUUCUUGUGUCGUUUACACCACCUAUAUACUUCACCCAAGAAUGCAAUCAAAUAUGCUCACCCACCUACUGCUAGAUGUGCCUCUUCAAUAUUCAACUUAUUUUUCAUGGCUGUCCUCUCCUUAUGUCGACUGCUUCCGACGCUGCAUUGUGCACCACCGUAGUCGCUGUGCUUCCUUCGUCUCCGGUGACGAUGACAAUGCCUGCUUUGCCGCCACCAUUUUUCAGCGUGGUGGUUGUCCGAUUUCGAGUGAGAAGCAGUGUACAUCUCUAAGGCAGAUUCAUUUUUCACCGAUCCUCCAUCUGAGAAGAAGAGGAAAAGGAAGAGGAGGAGGAAGAGGAAGGAGAAGCAAGAUGACGUUGCUGCCAGAAAGCCUGAUGACAUGGAUUUGAACAUAAAUGACGACGACAUGGUAGAUUAGCAAACACAGUGGAAUAAAAACUAGACUCAAGUAUGUGCCCUUCAUGUAUACUUUGAGCAAAGCACUAUACAUGUGCAAACUUUUUUCCAGGUCUAAGUAGGCAAGCACCAAAGUAAUAAAACAGGUUUUACUCCUUUUGUAGGGUCAGAUGCCCGAAUAUGAAUCCCCCACAUAUGUAUAGGGCCACUUAUUGGACACUAUGCAUCUUAACAAUAAUUCAGAACCAGUAUAUAUAUAAUUUUGUGAUGUCUUAUUCUUUGGAUGGUGUUCUGUUCACCAAGCUUUCAAGGAUAGAGCUCGAUAACAGAUCGAACACCGAGAACAGGUAUAAUUUUGUAGUCCUUGAAUCCAGCCUCGAAGAAAAUCUUCUUCCACUCUUGCUCAUCUCGUUCAACUCCAUUGAUGUUCAUGAUUAAGAGGUCAUACAAAACUUGUGUCUCUGCAUGCUUGAUAUCAUCUGACGGCCCAGAUCCGACCACCAUAUCUAUUAUUAUUAUCUUUCCUCCAGCAUCUCGUGGAGAUAUAGCUUGUUUGCAGUUCUUCAAUAUCUUGACACACUCGUCAUCGCGCCAAUCAUGCAAAAUCCACUGAAAAAAACAAGCAAUCAUGCAUCAAUUUUCAAUCCAUACAUAAAUUAAACAUACAAUAGCUUAGGGCAUUUGCUGGUUGCUGUCAGUAAUGUGCAUUCGAAACAUUUGGGUAUUGGGAUGUACCUUGAGGAACACAGCGUUCGCCGGUGGAAUACUCUCAAACACGUCACCAGCAACGUAGUGCACGUCAGUACCAGAGGGAGCUUUUGCGACGACCUGUGGGAGAUCCAGCACGGUGCACUUCAAAUCCGGGAACGCCGCUGCUAUGGUCGCAGCGGCCCCGCCAAGGCCGCCGGCGACAUCGACGAGGGAGGUUAGCCCACGGAAGACCUCGGCGCACUCCCUGAGGACGAUCGGCAUCAGGAAGGCGGUGUCCGCGGCCAUGGCGUCGUUGAACCGGAACGCGGCGGCGUCAUGUUCCGCUCUCUCCCAGACCGUCUGGCCGCCGUACGCCAUGGCGAAC
rnacentral:lncRNA from 1 species